rnacentral:rRNA from 2 species
CCACCACUAAGCCAGUGGUGAACUCCACAUACGCAUCCUUUGCUGAGGAUACGGUUAACGGAGCGAAAGCGACGUUCAACCUCAAAAGAAGCAGAGGGGGCUUAGUGGUGGGGUGACUGCGUACCUUUUGUAUAAUGGGUCAGCGACUUAUAUUCUGUAGCAAGGUUAACCGAAUAGGGGAGCCGGAGGGAAACCGAGUCUUAACCGGGCGUUAAGUUGCAGGGUAUAGACCCGAAACCCGGUGAUCUAGCCAUGGGCAGGUUGAAGGUUGGGUAACACUAACUGGAGGACCGAACCGACUAAUGUUGAAAAAUUAGCGGAUGACCUGUGGCUGGGGGUGAAAGGCCAAUCAAACCGGGAGAUAGCUGGUUCUCCCCGAAAGCUAUUUAGGUAGCGCCUCGUGAAUUCAUCUCCGGGGGUAGAGCACUGUUUCGGCUAGGGGGUCAUCCCGACUUACCAACCCGAUGCAAACUGCGAAUACCGGAGAAUGUUAUCACGGGAGACACACGGCGGGUGCUAACGUCCGUCGUGAAGAGGGAAACAACCCAGACCGCCAGCUAAGGUCCCAAAGUCAUGGUUAAGUGGGAAACGAUGUGGGAAGGCCCAGACAGCCAGGAUGUUGGCUUAGAAGCAGCCAUCAUUUAAAGAAAGCGUAAUAGCUCACUGGUCGAGUCGGCCUGCGCGGAAGAUGUAACGGGGCUAAACCAUGCACCGAAGCUGCGGCAGCGACACUAUGUGUUGUUGGGUAGGGGAGCGUUCUGUAAGCCUGCGAAGGUGUCUCGUGAGGGAUGCUGGAGGUAUCAGAAGUGCGAAUGCUGACAUAAGUAACGAUAAUGCGGGUGAAAAACCCGCACGCCGGAAGACCAAGGGUUCCUGUCCAACGUUAAUCGGGGCAGGGUGAGUCGACCCCUAAGGCGAGGCCGAAAGGCGUAGUCGAUGGGAAACAGGUUAAUAUUCCUGUACUUGGUGUUACUGCGAAGGGGGGACGGAGAAGGCUAUGUUGGCCGGGCGACGGUUGUCCCGGUUUAAGCGUGUAGGUGUGUGUUCCAGGUAAAUCCGGUUCACUUUAACACUGAGGCGUGAUGACGAGGCACUACGGUGCUGAAGCAACAAAUGCCCUGCUUCCAGGAAAAGCCUCUAAGCAUCAGGUAACAUCAAAUCGUACCCCAAACCGACACAGGUGGUCAGGUAGAGAAUACCAAGGCGCUUGAGAGAACUCGGGUGAAGGAACUAGGCAAAAUGGUGCCGUAACUUCGGGAGAAGGCACGCUGAUAUGUAGGUGAAGUGGUUUACCCAUGGAGCUGAAAUCAGUCGAAGAUACCAGCUGGCUGCAACUGUUUAUUAAAAACACAGCACUGUGCAAACACGAAAGUGGACGUAUACGGUGUGACGCCUGCCCGGUGCCGGAAGGUUAAUUGAUGGGGUUAUCCGUAAGGAGAAGCUCUUGAUCGAAGCCCCGGUAAACGGCGGCCGUAACUAUAACGGUCCUAAGGUAGCGAAAUUCCUUGUCGGGUAAGUUCCGACCUGCACGAAUGGCGUAAUGAUGGCCAGGCUGUCUCCACCCGAGACUCAGUGAAAUUGAACUCGCUGUGAAGAUGCAGUGUACCCGCGGCAAGACGGAAAGACCCCGUGAACCUUUACUAUAGCUUGACACUGAACACUGGUCCUUGAUGUGCAGGAUAGGUGGGAGGCUUUGAAGCGCGGACGCCAGUUCGUGUGGAGCCAUCCUUGAAAUACCACCCUUUAAUGGCUGGUGUUCUAACGUAGACCCGUGAUCCGGGUUGCGGACAGUGUCUGGUGGGUAGUUUGACUGGGGCGGUCUCCUCCUAAAGAGUAACGGAGGAGCACGAAGGUUAGCUAAUCCUGGUCGGACAUCAGGAGGUUAGUGCAAAGGCAUAAGCUAGCUUGACUGCGAGCGUGACGGCGCGAGCAGGUGCGAAAGCAGGUC